GUUACGGCGGUUAUGGCGGGAAGGAAACACCCGGUUACAUUCCGAACCCGGAAGUUAAGCUUCCCAGCGCCGAUGGUACUGCACUCGGGAGGGUGUGGGAGAGUAGGUCACCGCCGGACAAU
rnacentral:rRNA from 1 species